rnacentral:rRNA from 1 species
UACGGAGGGUGCGAGCGUUGUCCGGAAUCAUUGGGCGUAAAGGGCGCGUAGGUGGCUUCUCAAGCGUGCGGUGAAAGCCUGGGGCUCAACCCCGGGUCGGCCGUGCGAAACUGCUGGGCUCGAGCACUGUAGAGGCAGGCGGAAUUCCGGGUGUAGCGGUGGAAUGCGUAGAGAUCCGGAAGAACACCGGUGGCGAAGGCGGCCUGCUGGGCAGUAGCUGACACUGAGGCGCGACACGUGGGGAGCAAACAGGG